CCUUGGCACGUUCUGGGAAUCCCAAAGGAUAUCACUAAAGAUUUGCCUGCUGUCUUCAUUAAAGGUGCAGGACAUUGUGCAGAUUUGUACAAACAAAAGGAUAUUGAUUCAACUGAACUAAUUCAAGCACGAGAAAGAAUCUUUCAGAUUCUGCAAAAAUGGCUAAAGCAAUAGACCUCUCUGAAAAAUAAAUGCAACAGAACCCGAA